CCAAUCCCCAGCUGGCAUCGGGCAAAAGGUGAGGUACACCCUGGUCAGGUCGCCGGUCCAUCGCAGGGCCGUUUUGAGUGCUAUGAUUGUGCUGAGCCAGCAGCCCCAGAUGUGGUCUGCUGGGAGCCAUCAACCAGGUCGACCAACACCUGGACAGUCUGGGCUAGCCGACUUAGCCCCUCGUCCUCCAUGAUGAGCUGGGGGCAACACAAGGAAUCCUGCGAUGGGAAGAAGAGAGGAGUGAGCGGAUCUGGUAAUAUACAGUACAUUCUUUUGUUUGCAUGGUCAUUUUUUAAAAUAUUAAAUGCUGCCUCUGAUAAUAGCAGUCUGUUUAUGGCUGAAGAAAGUCCAGCCGUAACCACUGGAUGUGCUCAUCCAGGGAGCAAACUGGUUUCUUAGAGUUUAGACAUUGACAGACCUGAAGUAAUCUCCAGACUGUCUGUGAAGUGAAAUGUGACUAUACUAGACAAGUGGGUGGUGAAGGAGCUAACACGUUUAUAAAACGGGCUCAAUGGCAUCCUGUAGCAAGGCAUGUAAUUUCAAUCUCAUGUAAAGUGGAUAUCAAACAUCCCCCCACUGUCAGAUGUUAGUGUUUACUGCCUCCAGGCCUGAAAUGAAAAGCCAUUAAAUGAGACUUGCUUCCACUUUCCUUUGGAACAAGCAACCAGGCAGAUCUAAAUAAAAACAACCACAUACUCAGUUAUGUUGUAAAAUGGAACUGCUUAAUGGAAAAAUGCCAUUUCUGGUUCGACUUAGUGGUUCAUUCAAACCCUAGCAUUCAGGAAUUCAGUGGAUGUGUGUUAGUUGUUUAAAUAACUAUAGGCUAGAGUGGCCAGUGUGAACACGGCUCAGUAAAUGAGGUAAUACCUCAGUUGUCCCUGGGCCCUGUUCUCUAAACACAGCGUAACUAAUCUUAUAGUUGUUGUACCAAAUCUCAGCUUUUACAGUGAAUGUGAAUGGAUUUGUAGUUGCUCCUGUGUGACUGAUGUCUGCUGCAGGAUUUUUCAAGUUUCUUCAUUUCACACAGUCAGAUGGGCCCCUGGAUCGCCCUUAGUGACCCCUGAAACCUCUAGAGGAACUCUUAGAUUCCCCAGUAUGUCUCAAAUAAAAGAUUAAAUCUCCGUUAUCAGUGCUGCUGCCUCUGUAGCAAUUAUUUAACUGGUUUACCCCGAAAGUCUGAUUGUUGCUGUAGCCACAGCCUGACGCUCUGUGAUGAGCUGCCAUUCCAGUGAUGUGUCGGGGUGGCAGGCAGGCUGAAGUGAUGCAGAGGUAAAAUCAAAAAGGCGACAGCACAAAUUAUUGCGUCAACUGCUGGUGAGUUCUUUGACCUUGGUUUAACAUCACUCCUCUGCUCCAACACAGGCCAGCUUGAUUCAUGAACCUGCUGUUUGGAGAGCACACAGCAGCUCUCGAGGAGGGUAAAGCACGGGGUACAGUGGAAUCACGCCAGCGGACUAACAAACAACAGCGACUGGAGAGGAGGUUUGGACCACAGCAGAGAGAUGGGGACAUGAAACAGCCUGGUGGCCAAAUACAGCCAGUGAGUUGUACACUGAGGUGAGUAAGCACUUUAAACCGAGUUAGAGAGCUUUACUGAAGAAUGGCUUUUUAUUUUGGGCCCCAGAUAUUGUUUAAUAGUGUUAUAUAAAUAAAGACAUUACUAAAUAAAUCUUCAUACAAAUAAAAUGUAUAAAGUAUAAAUGAACAGGUAAUUUGGAAAAAAUUGUAAAACAAUGAGAAUUAUUCAAACUCACUACGAGGAAAUGUUAUUUCAUUAUUCACGCAAUGUGUAGUGUGUGUAGUCCAGUCCGUUGAGUCAGCACCAUGUCAAUGCAGGGUGGGCCUGUGAAUCCAAACUAGUCACGUCUCGUUUUCUAAUCAGUGAUACUCAUAAAUGGAUGAACAGGAUUCCCGCUGUCCCUACCUACUAUCCAUAGCAAAGGGCUCUGGGCUUGGCAGAAGACCUUGCUGAGAUGUCACCACUGUAAUAUAACGUGACAAGCAGUAUCAUUAUGAUCUUACUGUAGGUGACAUGAAAUAAAAGCGUGAAAUAGCCAUCCUGAAAUACAGCUGACUUUUAAAAGGGGGAACUAGAGUGUGAAAUCAACUUUAACUCAAACUUUCUUCAAAAUUAGAUUGAAAUCAAACUGUAAUAAGCUUAUAGUAACUUCUUCUUGGUUAACCUAUAUGUUGUAGGUAAAUUCAUUAAUGACUUUGGUGCUGCACAUUAAGAAAAUCAGUCCUGCUCAAAUAUUUUAGUAGGGUAGGACCCAGAUAGAGUUGUGACAUGGGGACAAUAUCAGUACUGUUCACCUCUAAUAUUAUGUUUCUUUAGAUCAUUUAUUCAUUUAAAUUUCCCUAUGAAUUCAUGUAGAUGAGCCCCUUAGUUACUUCAUGUUUUAGUACAAAGUUUUUGUCCCAUUAUAAUUUUAAAUGUUAGUUUGGAGGCCUCAGAAUUAUGUAUAGAACAGCGCUGACUAUUGACAUUAGCCCCACAGUCAAAUAAGCAUCAUAAUCAGGUUCCAAUGCAUGUUUAGCUGCAGACAUUGACCUAUGCGCAGUGAGCCAGACAGCGUGUGGUAGAAACAGCAGAGACCAUGUGAGGCUCUGUUAAUCGUGUAGCCUCUAGGGAAUCAAUUAUUUACCCAUCUAAAGAAGGGGCAAACUUUUAAACAAUGUUAUUUUAAUUCUAAAUAACUAUCGAUUACUUCUGGCUUAGCCUUUUGUGUGAUUUGAAGCACACAUAAAUUUCACAAAGCUUUACUUGGCUUUAUCAUGAGUGGCUUAUAGGCUUAAACUAAUAAACCCUCUGCUGUUUCACCAAAGAAACAAGAGUAAACAAAAACAGAACAAAAUAAAUAAAACCAAUAAUUUAAUAACCUGUUUACAUUUAUACAAACAUUAGCUGGUCAACUGGACCAGUGACGACGACAACAUUAGUUUACACACAACCUCCUGGAGAGGUUUGUACCGUCACUUUGGACACACGAAGCCUUGAAGGGGAUUGAUGUGGCAACAUCGCCCCCUGCUGCUCACAGUCAGACAAAAACAAAACGGAACAAAAAAAAAAAAAAA